rnacentral:rRNA from 1 species
AUUGAACGCUGGCGGCAGGCCUAACACAUGCAAGUCGAGCGGCAGCGGGAGGAAGCUUGCUUCCUCGCCGGCGAGCGGCGGACGGGUGAGUAAUGUCUGGGAAACUGCCCGAUGGAGGGGGAUAACUACUGGAAACGGUAGCUAAUACCGCAUAACGUCUACGGACCAAAGUGGGGGACCUUCGGGCCUCACACCAUCGGAUGUGCCCAGAUGGGAUUAGCUAGUAGGCGGGGUAAAGGCCCACCUAGGCGACGAUCUCUAGCUGGUCUGAGAGGAUGACCAGCCACACUGGAACUGAGACACGGUCCAGACUCCUACGGGAGGCAGCAGUGGGGAAUAUUGCACAAUGGGGGAAACCCUGAUGCAGCCAUGCCGCGUGUGUGAAGAAGGCCUUCGGGUUGUAAAGCACUUUCAGCGAGGAGGAAGGUGGUGAACUUAAUACGUUCAUCAAUUGACGUUACUCGCAGAAGAAGCACCGGCUAACUCCGUGCCAGCAGCCGCCGUAACAC